GUGGGGAAUAUUGGACAAUGGGCGCAAGCCUGAUCCAGCAAUGCCGCGUGCAGGAAGAAGGCCUUCGGGUUGUAAACUGCUUUUGUACGGAACGAAACGGUCCUGGUUAAUACCUGGGGCUAAUGACGGUACCGUAAGAAUAAGCACCGGCUAACUACGUGCCAGCAGCCGCGGUAAUACGUAGGGUGCGAGCGUUAAUCGGAAUUACUGGGCGUAAAGCGUGCGCAGGCGGUGCUGUAAGACAGGCGUGAAAUCCCCGGGCUCAACCUGGGAAUUGCGCUUGUGACUGCAGUGCUGGAGUACGGCAGAGGGGGAUGGAAUUCCGCGUGUAGCAGUGAAAUGCGUAGAUAUGCGGAGGAACACCGAUGGCGAAGGCAGUCCCCUGGGCCUGUACUGACGCUCAUGCACGAAAGCGUGGGGAGCAAACAGGAUUAGAUACCCGUGUAGUCC
rnacentral:rRNA from 1 species